rnacentral:rRNA from 1 species
AUUAAACGCUGGCGGCAUGCCUUACACAUGCAAGUCGAACGGCAGCACGGGGGGAACCCUGGUGGCGAGUGGCGAACGGGUGAGUAAAGCAUCGGAACGUGCCCUGGAGUGGGGGAUAACGUAGCGAAAGUUACGCUAAUACCGCAUAUUCUGUGAGCAGGAAAGCAGGGGAUCGCAAGACCUUGCGCUCUGGGAGCGGCCGAUGUCGGAUUAGCUAGUUGGUGGGGUAAAGGCCUACCAAGGCGACGAUCCGUAGCGGGUCUGAGAGGAUGAUCCGCCACACUGGGACUGAGACACGGCCCAGACUCCUACGGGAGGCAGCAGUGGGGGAAUAUUGCGCAAUGGGGGAAACCCUGACGCAGCCACGCCGCGUGAGUGAUGAAGGCCUUCGGGUUGUAAAGGCUCUGUC